GAAAGACAGUGGGGAAUGACUUGCGGGAAAGGAGCCACAUGUCGGAUUUGAACCCGGGCUGCCAGUUUGGAGGACUUGGAUCAUAGGGGAUGGAGCGCCCAAAGAAUUUGCUGUGGUGAAAAUGGGGACUGCUCAAAGUGCAGAGUGGAUGGGAGCUGUGUCGCACGCCUCCGAUAAAGCCGAGAACGUCUGUCAAAAGUGCGGCUCAUAAAUCCCUGACAACUUUUGGAGGGGGUGAAAAAAAGUCUGGAAAUUAAAGAACUCAUCAGUA